CGCAUGCGGGUGCUACACAUGCAGUCGAGCGGAGAUGAAGAAGUUUACUUUGGAUUCUUAGCGGCGGACGGGUGAGUAACGCGUGGGCAACCUACCCUGUACAGGGGGAUAACAAUGGGAAACCAUUGCUAAUACCCCAUGACGCCUUUUGGGGGCAUCCCUAAAAGGUCAAAGAACUUCGGUACAGGAUGGGCCCGCGUCUGAUUAGCUAGUUGGUGAGGUAAUGGCUCACCAAGGCAACGAUCAGUAGCCGGCCUGAGAGGGUGAACGGCCACACUGGAACUGAGACACGGUCCAGACUCCUACGGGAGGCAGCAGUGGGGAAUAUUGCACAAUGGGGGAAACCCUGAUGCAGCAACGCCGCGUGAGCGAUGAAGGCCUUCGGGUCGUAAAGCUCUGUCCUAAGGGAAGAUAAUGACGGUACCUUAGGAGGAAGCCCCGGCUAACUACGUGCCAGCAGCCGCGGUAAUACGUAGGGGGCAAGCGUUAUCCGGAAUCAUUGGGCGUAAAGGGUGCGUAGGCUGCCCUAUAGGUCAGAGGUCAAAGGCUACGGCUCAACCGUAGUAAGCCUUUGAAACUGUAGGGCUUGAGUGCAGGAGAGGAGAGUGGAAUUCCUAGUGUAGCGGUGAAAUGCGUAGAUAUUAGGAGGAACACAAGUGGCGAAGGCGACUCUCUGGACUGCAACUGACGCUGAGGCACGAAAGCGUGGGUAGCGAACAGGAUUAGAUACCCUGGUAGUCCACGCCGUAAACGAUGAGUGCUAGGUGUUGGGGGUCGAACCUCGGUGCCGAAGUUAACGCAUUAAGCACUCCGCCUGGGGAGUACGUACGCAAGUAUGAAACUCAAAGGAAUUGACGGGGACCCGCACAAGCAGCGGAGCAUGUGGUUUAAUUCGAAGCAACGCGAAGAACCUUACCUGGACUUGACAUCCCUCUGACCGAUUCUUAACCGAAUCCUUCCCUUCGGGGACAGAGGAGACAGGUGGUGCAUGGUUGUCGUCAGCUCGUGUCGUGAGAUGUUGGGUUAAGUCCCGCACGAGCGCACCCUUGUCUUUAGUGCCAUCAUUAAGUUGGGCACUCUAGAGAAGACUGCCGGGAUAACUCGGAAGAAGGUGGGGGAUGAACGUCA
rnacentral:rRNA from 1 species